CUUAAAAAAUGCAUUAAAAACAAAUUUGUGCAGCACGGGGUUCAAACCAAUUGCAUGGCUCGCUCUGCUACGGUCCCUCGUGGUGCGUCUGCCAGAAUUUCCACUUGCAGCGUUUUUCGCUUUUCUGCAAAGACGGAGCAGACAUACAGCAUCUGGGGACCAGCAGUGGUAUCAGGAAGACAGAGAGGGAGACAGCUGUGCACUCCUAGGAUAUGAAAAGGAAGAUGGCUUGAUGAGAGAUGCUGAAAAAUGAGUUCAGAUAUCGAAAACUUCUGAGAGAAUAGCAAAAUUAAGAUGAUACUGGAAGGCAGAGGGAGAGAUUCUGCAUUCAGGAACUUUUACUGGCCUUGACAGCUCACUGCAAGUGUACAGUGGAUGAUUACAGUUGCAGCGAGGAGAAAGUUAAUAGCCCGGGCUUAGAAGUCAGCCCGCUCAAGUCCAAAUUACAGGAAAAGACAGAACAAUCUCAACAGCUGCAAGAUCAAAUUCUCAAGCAGCAGGAGGCUUUAAGUAGGGCAAGCCAAACUCUCAAAGACACCAGGAAAGCAGCUGGCAAUAAGUGGCAUCAGCAGGUGGAGAGACAGACAUGGUGGAACCACAGGCGGAGGGUGAACCAGCUGCAGGUUGGGCAGCCAUAGGGUGAUUCUGCAGGAGGGGAUGAGAAUGAAGGAGAAGAAUUCCCAGGGAGCACAAGAGGAGAUGAGGGGGGAAAAUAUUACAGUAAACCUCUUACAAAGGAGUUCUCAAACAAUGACAAUAAUUUACUUUAAACACAGAAAGAAUUGAGACUGAUUUUUAAGUGAUUUGACCAAUCUAAUUAUUUUAAAUGGAAUUCAGGAAAUUUGGCUUCACUGGAAAAGGUGAGUCAUGUUUUGUAGGUGUUUAAAAGAGGAAGUGUGUGUGUUUAGCCAAAGCGGAUGUUGUUAGGAUGUAUUAAAGAUAAAUAGGGAGGCAUAGAUGAGAGAUUAUCUGUCUUAGUAGAUGCAAAGGUUUUUUUUUUUUUUUAAACAAAAGGUGCUCAGAUUUGUGUAUAUAUUUUCCUUUAGAGGUGGUAUGCGUCUCUGUUUUGUGUGUGUGUUUAGAGUAGAAGGUGUGUGUCCUCCCUGACCCCUCCCGCAUCUUUACCGCCACCCAUCUGUUUACUGACUCAUGAAAAAUUCAUGAGUGUGUGUUUGGGAGCAGCGGAAUAAUUUUCAAUAUUUAGCCAGGCUAUGAAUACAGAUGAUGUUGAACUUUGGUGUAUUGCGGCGGCGUUUGUGAAGGUGUUUGGGUGCGUAUGCGUGUAGCCGGUAUCAUGGCAGGCUGAGGUCAGCAGGCUUAAUGAGGGGGUGAGGAAGCAGUGGGUCCACACGCAUGUGCUGAGUGAGAUGUGUCGCCUAUAGGGGACAUGUGACUGGACCGGGCGGGGCGGGAAAGACGGCAGCUCCAAAGCCAACUGAAAAUAAUGCAGCAGCAGGUUAGCAGCAGCUGUCAAUCAAACACAUACAAAUAAACAUUAGAUAACCAUAUGCAAUUCCAAGUAAAGGGAUAACUGAAUGGACAGAAGUAGGAGCCAAAAUGCUGUGUUAUUUUAUUGUAUCUGGCGAACAUUUACAAAUAUUUUAACAAUAACACUUUAUUUCGAUGAUCCAUC